rnacentral:rRNA from 1 species
CUCAAAUUGAAAUCUGGCCUUUGGGGUCCGAGUUGUAAUUUGUAGAGGGUGUUUCGGGCGCGAUGCCGGUCUAAUUCCUUGGAACAGGACGUCGCAGAGGGUGAAAUCCCGUACGCGACCGGCGAUCAGCCCGUGUGAACCCCUUCGACGAGUCGAGUUGUUUGGGAAUGCAGCUCAAAAUGGGUGGUAAAUUUCAUCUAAAGCUAAAUAUUGGCCAGAGACCGAUAGCGGACAAGUAGAGUGAUCGAAAGAUGAAAAGCACUUUGGAAAGAGAGUCAAACAGUACGUGAAAUUGUUGAAAGGGAAGCGCUUGCAAUCAGACCGGUCCGGAGGCGAUCAGCCGCUGCUCGUUCAGCGGUGCACUCGCCUGCGAUCCGGCCAGCAUCGGUUUGGGCGGUGGGAUAAAAGUCCCGGGAAUGUAGCUUCUCUCGGGGAGUCUUAUAGCCCGGGUCGCAAUGCCGCCCGCCCGGACCGAGGACCGCGCUUCGGCUAGGAUGCUGG